UGAAAAUCAAAUAUUUCAUUAUGAUACGUUAAAUAUAGGAAAAUGUAAUUUCUUUUAAUAAAACAUAAAUCUUACUUUCUAAAAUUAAAUUUUCGCACGAAUGUGUAUAACAUAAAAGCUACGGUCGGCUCAAUGAAAUCCUAUUGGAGGGAAAUGACACGGGAGAAAACGUCUUCCACUUAAAAUAUUUUAGUUUAAAUUUUUGACAGUUAUUUUAUUUACUUGUUUUUUCUCUGUAAUUUGCUUAACGCAAAUAAAAACAAAGAAAUUUAUUACAAAAUAUAAUUAUUAACAUUCUUAUUUUUUAUUCGUAAUUAAUUGAAAGAUUUAAGUUCUCUUUUUUUGAUUUAUAACAGAAAACGUUACUUUGUGCUCAGUAUUAGAGAUAAAUAAUAAACGAUAUAAUAAAUUGUAUCGUUUGAUCCUUUUUUUUUUACGAAUCAAAUAAAUAAUUAAAAAUUUUUUUUUAUUGAAAAUUUUACACUCUAUCUUACAUUAUAUCUUUAAGAAUAUACAAAUUAUGAAAUUUAAUUGUUAUAAUUUAAUCAUCUACUUACCUCUUGAUCGAUCCGUCAUUAAUGAAGGAUAAAACAGAUGCAUGGAAUAAAGAAUUUAUUGUAAGUUUACUAUGCAUUAGGAAAUAUACAAGUUAUGAGACAACGUUUAAGUAGUUACGAUAACGUAUAUCUUGGCCCUUUAACACAUGGAACGUAACGUAAUCUUUGGUAUUGAACGAACAAUAUAACCAAUGUCCGUUAAUUUUGUUAGGCUAUUUUGUAAGUCGUGAGUUUUUGAAAAACACAUUUCAUUUAACAAAUCUAAUUAUAAUCUAAUCGAUGAAAUCUAAAAAUGAAUCGUAUUUCCUAUAAAAAAAAAAAA